rnacentral:rRNA from 1 species
CCCGCUGAACUUAAGCAUAUCAUUAAGCGGAGGAAAAGAAACUAACAAGGAUGCCCCCAGUAACUGCGAGUGAAGCGGGCAAAGCUCAACCUGAAAAUCGGGCGUUUCUCAACGUUCGAAUUGUGGGCUAGAGACACGUUGCCAGUGUGUGACCCAGGUAUAAGUCCUUUGGAAAAAGGCAUCAUAGAGGGUGAGAAUCCCGUCUUUGACCUGGCGAGCCACGUCCGGUGCGUGUUCACAAAGUCGAGUUGCUUGGGAUUGCAGCUCUAAUCGGGUGGUAAAUCUCAUCUAAAGCUAAAUAUCGACGAGAGACCGAUAGCGAACAAGUACCGUGAGGGAAAGAUGAAAAGAACUUUGAAAAGAGAGUUAAAAAGUACUUGAAAUUGUUAAGAGGGAAGCACUGGAAACCAGUCGUGCCUGAUAGGUUAUUACUGGAAGCCUGUUGAGAAAGGCUGUUGCAGAUCGCAAGACUGCAGCGGUUUUUGUAGGCAGGUGUCUGGGUCCUAAUCUGUUGGGUGUGUCAGAAUCAAUUCGGUCUGUGGGAGAAAGCUUUCGGGAAGGUAGGGUCGCGAGCUUCGGUUCAACACCUGUUAUAGACCGGGAGUGCUACCAUGGGCUGGAUUGAGGGCUCACAAUAUUCAGGUACCGCUGGACUCUUGGCUCUGAUGCGCCCAGCUGCUUGCGAUGACAAAGUCAUACUGGUGGCGAAGUGUGUUACUGGCUGGGAUGUGAAGGUGGUGCCGGGAUUCUGACGAAAUGGUUUUCAUUGACCCGUCUUGAAACACGG